rnacentral:rRNA from 1 species
UAAUGUAUGGGGAUCUGCCCGAUAGAGGGGGAUAACUACUGGAAACGGUGGCUAAUACCGCAUAAUGUCUACGGACCAAGCAGGGGCUCUUCGGACCUUGCACUAUCGGAUGAACCCAUAUGGGAUUGCUAGUAGGUGGGGUAAAGGCUCACCUAGGCGACGAUCUCUAGCUGGUCUGAGAGGAUGAUCAGCCACACUGGGACUGAGACACGGCCCAG